rnacentral:lncRNA from 1 species
AAAAUGUUUAGCUUAUCGAAGAAAUUCUCUUUUCUCUUUGUUCAAUUUUGUCUUCUUUCAUUUUUUUGGUGUUAGUGUUUUCUGUUGUCGUAAAAGUUGAAGAAAAAAUUAAAGAGAAAAACUAACUAAUAAAUUACACACAAAAAAAAUCGUUUGACAUACAUGAUUUAUUUUUCUCAUUCAAUUACCGCGUAAUACAGUUUAAUUACCACAUAAUACAUUAAAAACCUUACUUAAUCAAUACGUG